AAGAAAAAAAAGAUGUAUCUCGUUGAUAUGAGUAUCACCUAUCAAAUUAUUUAAGUUUUCCUUGAAUAUGCAGUCUCAUACCUGCAUAUUCUUGGAAUCCCUCUCUUUUAGGCGUAUUUCGGUUCGUUCAUGUACCCCUCCGCUUCAAAGCACCUAUAUAAGCUCUCUUUGUCUGUGCCUUGUACACCGGCAAUCGCUCCUUAUUUUUGCCCCGAGUGUCACAACAACAUUAAUUUUAAAGUGAAAUUUGUACAUAAAUAAUGUACAAAAACCAAAAGAAAUCUACAAAAUCAAUUUAUUUUUCGAAUUAAAAAAAACCCAGUCAUUUUCAGUGUUUUGAUUUUUACAAUUUUACUUAGGGCUGAUAAUUCGGUUCCGGUUAUCCGGUUAAAAUUGUAACUGAAUCGGUUAACCGAUAACCGGUUUUUCCGGUUUCGGAUCGAUUAUCGGUUAGUUUUAUUGGGGUUAACCGGUUAAUCGGUUUAACCGGUCGGUUAACCGGUUUAAUUUAUAGAUUAAUUAAUACAUUUAAUUUUGUAUUUACAUUUACUAAAAAUUGUAAAAAACUAGGGCUGGCUGGAUCUCAAUUCUCAAACAACUUUCAACUUUCACGCCUCCUUCUCCAGGCCUUCCACGCCCUUCGGCUACUUCCCGUCUGCCUCUGCACCCUCCGACGACCGGAGCCUCAUCCCACCGCGCCCAUCUCCCUUUGCACCCUCCAGCGCCGCCGCGCCUUCCUCUGCCUUGGGCCCCUUCGGCCCUUCCCGUCUGCCUUCUGCACCGUCCAGCGUCGCCGCACCCUCCAUUGCCUUCGGCCCCUUGGCCCUUACCUUCUGCCUCUGCACCCUCCGGCGACCGAAGCAUCGUCCAACCGCACCCAUCUCCCUCUACACCCACCAGCGCCACUGGGCCCUCCCUCUCCGACCUGUAUUUCCCUUCAGCGCCGCCCCCAACUCCCUCUGUAGUCUGCACAGCAGCACAGUCGCCAUCCUCGUGGGCCCCUUCCCGCCCUCCUACUCCGACCUCCCUUUUCUCAGGUUCGUAAAAAGUUUCCAUCUUUGGUUAGAUGUCGUAAAGAUGGUUUCUUUGCUCUGCAAAUAGCUCAGAUGUCGUAAAGAUUCGAUCUUUUUUAUUGUUCAUUGGAUUCAGUUUGUGUUGGUAUGGAUUUGUGUUGUGAAUUUGUGAUGAAUUCAGUUUGUGACUUUGUGUUGUGAUGAAUUCAGUUUUUUUGUUGUUAUUCUUGCACUGUAGUCUGAAACCAAACUUUUCAAUUCAGUUUUUGUUGUUCUUAUAAUUUGUGAUGAAUUUGUACACUGUUGGUAUGUACUUUGUCGGGUUCUUCGAAAAUGUGGCAGUUGAGUUUAUGGAUACAAUGUGUAGUACUAAAUUCCAGCUCCAUUUGCAAUUUGUUUACUAAUAACUAAUAAGUAAUAUGUUGACGAACUUCUUGAUUAGAUGGAGAGAAUUGAAGAUGGAUCACAAUCUAUCACACAACAAGCUAGCAACAGGCUUGGAAUUGAAGACGAUGAUAUGUUUGAAGAGGUUGAAAUACAUGAACUAGAGGGUGAUGAUGAAGAACCAAAGGCAAAAAAUACUAGGAAAUCUUCUGGGACAAGGUCCAAUGUUUGGGCUGAUUAUAUUCAGGUUAUGGACGGAGCAGGGGAUGAAAAGAUUAAGAAAGGGCAAUGCAAGCGUUGUGGCAGACUAAUAAGGGCUGAUCCGAAUAGAAACAACACCAGUGCUUUGAAAAAUCAUACUACUUCGUACUUGAAGAAGCAUCAAGCAACAGCUAGUCAAUCGGUUCUCAACUUACAACCCACUACUGCUGGAACAGGAUCGUUGACAAGCUGGAAAUUAGAUCAAAAUGUCGUUAGAAAGGCAUUGUGUCAGAUGAUCAUCAUGGAUGAACUUCCAUUUAGAUUUGUCGAGCGUGAGGGGUUCAAGAUGUUUAUAGACACCGGUGUAAAUGAGCCGAGUCGAGUCGAGUAUCGCUAUGCUCAAAGUCGAACUCGCCUAUUUUCAUGAAGCUCGAGCUCGAGCUCGACUCGGCCGAGCUUGAUUUUUUUGAGCUCGAGCUCGACUCGUUGCCAUAUUUGUAAGCUCGAGCUCGACUCGGUUAAGCUCGAUUGUUGAUUGUUGCUCGAGUUUGAGCUCGAGCUCGAGCUCGUUUAAGUUUGUUAGGCUCGAACUCGUUUAAACUCGGUGAGCUCGAGCUCGUUUAAGCUCGUCUCAUACAUGCUUUAACAAAUUGCAAAACAUUACAAAUCAUUCCAUUACGGAGAUUUCGGGAGGAGAGGAUGCCAUUAUCAACUGAAGAGAAAAAAAAAGAACAUUCUGACAAUAAAUAAAGAGAACAUUCUGAUUUAGACAAUUUGUUUAAACUGACCAUCAAUAAUUCGACAAAAUUCUGAUCAUUCUCACAAACGAAUUUAACUUUCUUCACCUCCAAUUCUUCAUUUUCCCCAUUCCCAUUGAUCCUCUUUAUUCCAACAAUCUCACAAUCAAAGAUCACAGCUUAAAC
rnacentral:lncRNA from 1 species